UCAGCAGUUAUUUGUUUAAGAAACAUUAAUUGAGCAGUGUUUGGGUAGCAGGCAGUGUGCUGGGUGCUGGGAGUGGUGUGGUGGGAAUAUACAAUGUCCCGCCCCCCAGCCCCAUUUUAUCCAGGGGUCAUGGGCAGUGGGUGCAAAUUAUGGUUUCAUGUGGACAUGCAGCUGGACCAGAGCUGAUCCUGUAGGUGGUGCUGUGCUCUCUCCCUCAGCAUUUGUCCCUGGAGGGUCUCUGAAAGUCCAGGUCAGCCCCUGGGCUGGGUCCCCACAGUAAGAAGAGAACUGUGAUGGGCAACACCCCAGAAAAGAAGACUUGCAGCCUCACUUCAUGUCAAUUUGCAAGAACUGACAUCACACAGCAGCUUCGUUUCUUCAGACCGUCCAGCUUGCUGCCUCUUGCCCAGUCACGUGGAGCUAAUAAAGAUGCGCUGUUCCACACCUCUGUGCCUCUCCACAUAUGGUUCCUUUCGCCUGGAGUGCCAACCCUUUCUGCCUGCUGUCCACCUAUCAAACUUCCACUCAUCCUUUACAAACGAGCAUAAGCAUCAGCACUUUGGGGGUGUGAGAAAAUACCCAGUGUGAGAGACCAAAGGUCUGGUCCUGGGACCUGGUGAGGUGGAAGUGCAGCAGCCUCCCUGUGGAGAUAAGGAGUCCCAGCAAUAUGGUGGCCGGCUGGCACCACACAGAGGAGGCCAGUGUGUGAGUCCCUGGCAGCGGACAUAACCUGUGAACCACAGGAAUACUGAAUCCAUCGUUCAGUCUCAGAUCUUCGUAGUCCUAAACUGUCAGUGACAGACUUUGGGCCCAAUAGCACACUGCUUGUUGUACUUAGAGAACAGAGGGGAAGAGGCUGUGUCCACCCUGGAGGAAGAAGAAAGAAAAAGCGAGCAAGCAAACGAGAGGGAGAAAGACAGAGAGAGAGAGAGGGAGAGAGAGAAGUUCCAGAUGAUGAGAGUUGUGAUAAGAGCAGGAAUUCGGAGUGAGAGUUGGGAGGGGGUCACUUGGUAUUACCAGGAAGUCCUGGGAAGGCACGGAAGGUCCCACAGUCCUGUGGGAGAUGUGGGCGGGGUGAUUUAAAUUUUUUUUUUAAUAGAAAGGAAAGGAUGAUCCCUGACAACUAGGAUAGACUCAAGUUACUUGUAUGGGGCAGUGAUACCUCUUCCACCAUCAUCUGACCCCUAUUUGUAUGAUUCACUUGUAUUUGUUUUAUUAUUAAACUUUCUGUGUGUGUUAGUGCCUUCUCCUCCUCAGUAGUUCUGGAUUCUUUGGAGGCUACCAUGGACAGUUUCACUUGAGUUUGGUGGUGCACAUGUAAGGAGUAACUGGAGAUAAAUUGGAAGAAGUUGGCUAGGGCCAGAUCAUUGCAUGGCAUUGCUUGCCAUAUAUUUCAGAAUAGACCACUGUGAACCCUGUGACAUGUUUAUGUGUGAAGUUAGCUUCACAGCUUAGGAUCAGUUAGCAAGCAUUCAAGAAUUAACACUCACAGGAGGCUCUAGCAAGUAGUUCCAAUGUCAAUUUUUCAUUGGUGAUAUAGUGGGAUUCAGGACAUGUGGGUUGUAUAAGUGCUUGCCCCAUUGCACAGUGAGGUGUAAAGACACAGCAUGCUCAGUUGCCCACCCCUGGAGUGCAGCUGUCAGUGGAGAACUCUGCUUGGUCCUCCGCCCCACCCGACCCCAUCCUUCAAAGAGGACUCAGCGGCCCCCGUAGACAGCUU